AAUUCUCAAUUAAGUUUUGCAUCAAUAUGGUUAAGGUUUCGAAGUAAUUUCUUAUAUAAACUUUUUACUUUAAAUCAUAAAAUCUUUUAGAUCAAAUCUAAAUUUUCAUGAUUCUAAAUCAAAAUAAUUUUGAUUAAUCAAGGUUAGAUAUAACUAGUUUCUUCACAACUUGCAUCACAUACAACAACACCUAGGAUUUUAAGAUCUAGAAUUUUAUAAGAAAGUAAGUUUUAUCCUUUCACUUUCUUCUUCAUGAGACCUCAUAGUGGCACUCCUACAUGCUAUGAAGAGCACUCUAUUGAAUGGAAAGAGAGGGUCACGAAACCCUACUUGCUCCUA
rnacentral:lncRNA from 1 species